rnacentral:rRNA from 1 species
CCUACGGGUGGCUGCAGUGGGGAAUAUUGGACAAUGGGGGCAACCCUGAUCCAGCCAUGCCGCGUGUGUGAAGAAGGCCCUCGGGUUGUAAAGCACUUUCAGUGAGGAAGAACGCCUGGUGGUUAAUACCCAUCAGGAAAGACAUCACUCACAGAAGAAGCACCGGCUAACUCCGUGCCAGCAGCCGCGGUAAUACGGAGGGUGCGAGCGUUAAUCGGAAUUACUGGGCGUAAAGCGCGCGUAGGUGGCUUGAUAAGCCGGUUGUGAAAGCCCCGGGCUCAACCUGGGAACGGCAUCCGGAACUGUCAAGCUAGAGUGCAGGAGAGGAAGGUAGAAUUCCCGGUGUAGCGGUGAAAUGCGUAGAGAUCGGGAGGAAUACCAGUGGCGAAGGCGGCCUUCUGGACUGACACUGACACUGAGGUGCGAAAGCGUGGGUAGCAAACAGGAUUAGAUACCCCUGUAGUC